AUUUUGCUUAUUAAACACCCACCCGAAUAACCAAAGGGGGCAGAGUCUGUGGACACAAUUUGCCCUAUCUUCAGUUCCUCUUGUCUGUCCUCCACAAGCAGAGACUCACUGAUAGACCACUGUUACCAGUUCUAGUGUUUACACAUCCACCCACGUCCCCACCACAAGUGUAUCCUGUACAGACACAGAACAUUGAGGGGAAAAACAGAGAUGCUGUUGUCUGCUGCCUCAUUAACUACCUCGGUGAAAGACAAGAAGAUCUUUUCCAUGACUGCCAGUAGGAAUGUGAGGACUACACAGACAGAACAAAGAAGGUGAUUGUGAAGCACAAUGUCAUGGCUGAGGAGGAUCCAUCAGAUUUGUCUAUUGUGAUCCAGAGAAAACUAAGUGAUGGAAGGAUGUGGAAGCCGAACAAAGGCAUGCAUACUGCUGAUGGGACUCAUUUAUGCAAUCAACAUCGAAUAUCCAAAGGAGCUGAAGAACACGUUUGAAGCUUUUCAAAAACUUUUUUUUGGAAAUUGAUGGAGAAAAACUACUGAAAAAGGUCCACAGCCUCAAAAAUAAGCUCAUGCAGUAGACACACAUUUUCCCUCUUGUUCGAAGAGGAUCUUUUGUCUGGACAUACUUUUAAUGCAGCCCUAAUGGAGUGUAGUUUUAUAUUUUUCUUAUUUUCCCUUAUUUGCUACACACACACAGACACAAAUCCAUCCAGCCCACUCCAUUACUCUGUGAUUUCCCCCAGAUUGACAGAAAAGGAAUACCAAUGCAAAGUUAUAAAACAGGGGUCAUUACUUGAAAUUGUGGUGUAAAGCUGUUGUGCUGCACUAUAUUUUGAGUGUUUCACAGGAUUUUUUGGAUUAAAAAUAUUGAUCUGAUGAGCCAUCUGAAUGUCUUUAUUGUGGGGGGUACAUUUUACCUUUUCUGAAUAAAUAAUUGUUAUUAACUAUUAACUGAUUUGAAGAGAUAAUUUUUACCUAAUUUUAAUGAGUAAGUAGCUGUUGAAUAUAUACAUAAAUGUGAGGUAUUGUUACCCAAUUUAUGCAAGUAUUUAAUAGCUUUUUACUUGAGAUAGCUUAUACUCAAUAUAUGGGAUUAAAUCUACCCCACCAAAGUCGA